CGGAAGUCCGAAAAGAGAGACAAAGAGGGCAGGAAGGAAAGCAAACCAGAAAAUGGCUUUCGCAAGUCUAGAGAUGGACCAGCCAAUAAGGUUUCCGUAAAGCUUCUGAAUCCCAACUACAUUUAUGAUGCAGUUCCCCCAGAGUUUGUGAUCCCACUUGCGGAGGUGGUAUGUGACAGAGGUGACAGUGUGAAUCUCCGUUGUAAGAUCUGUGGGCAGCCCAAAGCCUCGGUCUGCUGGAG